CCUUCUGACAAGAGCCUCCAACACAGCAUGGCUGUCCAGGUGCUGCUUCUCUGCCUGGUGAUAUUUCCAAGUUGUGCCCUGUCCCAGGUACAGCUGAAGGAGUCAGGACCUGGCCUAGUGCAGCCUUCACAGACCCUGUUGCUCAUCUGCACGGUCUCUGGAUUCUCAUUAACCAACUAUCAUAUAAACUGGGUCCGCCAACUCUCAGGAAAGGGUCUGGAGUGGAUAGGAAUAAUAUGUUAUGAUGGAAGCACAAAUUAUAAUUCAGCUCUCCAGUCCCGAAUCAGUAUCACCAGGGACACCUCCAAGAGCCAAGUUUUCUUAAAACUGAGCAGUCUGUAAACUGAGGACACAGCCAUGUAUUACUGUGCCA